rnacentral:tRNA from 1 species
GGGGGUAGUUGGAUCUCUGGUGAGGCCCGCGGUCUUCAAAACCGUCUGACGGGCGUGUGGAGCGCCUGUGGUGGGUUCGAUUCCCACAUACCCCCGCCA